GAUGAACGCUAGCGGCAGGCCUAACACAUGCAAGUCGAGGGGUAGAACACUUCGGUGUUUGAGACCGGCGCACGGGUGCGUAACGCGUAUGCAAUCUACCUUGUACAGGGGAAUAGCCCAGAGAAAUUUGGAUUAAUGCCCCAUAGUAUAUAACCUUCGCAUGUUGGUUAUAUUAAAGUUCCAACGGUACAAGAUGAGCAUGCGUCCCAUUAGUUAGUUGGUAAGGUAACGGCUUACCAAGACGAUGAUGGGUAGGGGUCCUGAGAGGGAGAUCCCCCACACUGAUACUGAGACACGGACCAGACUCCUACGGGAGGCAGCAGUGAGGAAUAUUGGUCAAUGGGCGCAAGCCUGAACCAGCCAUGCCGCGUGCAGGAGGAAGGCGUUAUGCGUUGUAAACUGCUUUUAUACAGGAAGAAACGACCCUUGCGAGGGGCAUUGACGGUACUGUAUGAAUAAGCACCGGCUAACUCCGUGCCAGCAGCCGCCGUAACAC
rnacentral:rRNA from 1 species